rnacentral:rRNA from 1 species
AUGCACGCUGGCGGCGUGCCUCAUACCUGCAAGUCGAGCGAACAGAUGAGGAGCUUGCUCCUCUGACGUUAGCGGCGGACGGGUGAGUAACACGUGGAUAACCUACCUAUAAGACUGGGAUAACUUCGGGAAACCGGAGCUAAUACCGGAUAAUAUAUUGAACCGCAUGGUUCAAUAGUGAAAGACGGUUUUGCUGUCACUUAUAGAUGGAUCCGCGCCGCAUUAGCUAGUUGGUAAGGUAACGGCUUACCAAGGCAACGAUGCGUAGCCGACCUGAGGGGGUGAUCGGCCACACUGGAACUGAGACACGGUCCAGACUCCUACGGGAGGCAGCAGUAGGGAAUCUUCCGCAAUGGGCGAAAGCCUGACGGAGCAACGCCGCGUGAGUGAUGAAGGUCUUCGGAUCGUAAAACUCUGUUAUUAGGGAAGAACAAAUGUGUAAGUAACUAUGCACGUCUUGACGGUACCUAAUCAGAAAGCCACGGCUAACUACGUG